ensembl:snRNA U6 U6 spliceosomal RNA
AUGUUUUUCUAGCAACAUAUGCUAGAACUUGGAAUGGUACAGGGAAGGAUUAGCAUGGCCUCUUGACAGGACAUGUAUAUUUAUGAAACAGUCUUUAUAGUU